rnacentral:rRNA from 1 species
GACGAACGCUGGCGGCGUGCUUAACACAUGCAAGUCGAACGGAAAGGCCCUGCUUUUGUGGGGUGCUCGAGUGGCGAACGGGUGAGUAACACGUGAGUAACCUGCCCUUGACUUUGGGGUAACUUCAGGAAACUGGGGCUCAUAACCGGGAGGAGCUCCUGCUGCAUGGGGGGGGGUGGAAAGUUUCGGCGGUUGGGGAUGGACUCGCGGCUUAUCAGCUUGUUGGGGGGGUAGUGGCUUACCAAGGCUUUGACGGGUAGCCGGCCUGAGAGGGUGACCGGCCACAUUGGGACUGAGAUACGGCCCAGACUCCUACGGGAGGCAGCAGUGGGGAAUAUUGCACAAUGGGCGGAAGCCUGAUGCAGCAACGCCGCGUGCGGGAUGACGGCCUUCGGGUUGUAAACCGCUUUCGCCUGUGACGAAGCGUGAGUGACGGUAAUGGGUAAAGAAGCACCGGCUAACUACGUG